CCCGCUGAGUUUAAGCAUAUAAAUAAGCGGAGGAGAAGAAACUUACAAGGAUUCCCCUAGUAACGGCGAGCGAACCGGGAGCAGCCCAGCUUGAGAAUCGGGCGGCUGUGCCGUCCGAAUUGUAGUCUGGAGAGGCGUCCUCAGCGACGGACCGGGCCCAAGUCCCCUGGAAAGGGGCGCCUGGGAGGGUGAGAGCCCCGUCCGGCCCGGACCCUGUCGCCCCACGAGGCGCCGUCAACGAGUCGGGUUGUUUGGGAAUGCAGCCCAAAUCGGGCGGUAGACUCCGUCCAAGGCUAAAUACUGGAUCCUUCUUUUAAG
rnacentral:ncRNA from 1 species